ensembl:snRNA U6 U6 spliceosomal RNA
GUGCUGGCUCUGGAAGCACAUCCACUAAAACUGGAAUGUUUCUGAGAGGGUUAGCACAGCCCCUGUGCAAGACCAACAUGCAAAUUAGCGAAGCACUGCCUAUUUUU